UUCGGCUUCUUUUUACAGAGAGACUAAAAAAUAUUUGAGUUUGCUAGCCAACAUAUUCUUUUUGCCACACUGAAAAAGUGUACUAUGAGGAAACGUGGCUCUAGAAAUUGUGAAAGGGUAUAUUCAUAAAAGUGCUAAUCUGCAGAAUGCUUCUAUGUAUAAUAGUUCACAAUUGCCUACUUCCUUGUUUUCACUGGAAAUUAAGAUCUCUUAUCUUGCAACACCUAAUCCGAAUCUCUCUCAACAGCUACAAGCUUGGCUUUUGAUAUAUGAAACCUCCUGAGAGAAAGAAAGUUUCAAAGGGUGGGAUAAAGAGUUCCAGAAUAUGCCACCCGACAUAUGGAUUAUUUUGAGCUAAAAGCAAUUGAGAACCAGCAGACACAGGAAAGGCUCUUUACCAUCCUCUUACUGCCUAAAAGCAGAAUAUAAAUUUCCCCUUUUGUAAAGGAAAUUUACAUUUAUAAAGGAAAUUUCUCUUGGUGAAGAUUCCUCUGCACCAGAAACAGAGCUAGGCCUGGAGAUAACACAUCACCUGAGACACUCUUAUCUACAUAACUUAUUUACAUACAAGUAUAUGUUUCCUGCCUCACUUUCUCAGGACUUGUCCUCUCAGAAGCCCCAAACCCCUUUCUCUUUGUUUAGCCUAAGAUGGUAUCUAGGCCUCAAUCUGGAUCUCCUUUAGUCUCUUUUUCUGGUGAUACUCCCAUGUGUAGGUACAGAAUUAAAUUGUAUUUUCCUCUUGUUAA